rnacentral:rRNA from 1 species
UACGAGCGGCCCAAACGUUAUUCGGAUUUACUGGGCUUAAAGAGUUCGUAGGCGGCGCGGAAAGUCGGGUGUGAAAGCCCUCGGCUCAACCGAGGAAUUGCGCUCUAAACUGUCGCGCUCGAGGAACCUAGAGGUGAGCAGAACUGAUGGUGGAGCGGUGAAAUGCGUUGAUAUCAUCAGGAAUACCGGAGGCGAAGGCGGCUCACUGGGGGUUAUCUGACGCUGAGGAACGAAAGCCAGGGGAGCAAACGGG